AGCAGUCGCCGCGGUAACACCGAGGGUGCAAGCGUUAAUCGGAUUUACUGGGCGUAAAGCGUGCGUAGGCGGCUUUUUAAGUCGGAUGUGAAAUCCCUGAGCUUAACUUAGGAAUUGCAUUCGAUACUGGGAAGCUAGAGUAUGGGAGAGGAUGGUAGAAUUCCAGGUGUAGCGGUGAAAUGCGUAGAGAUCUGGAGGAAUACCGAUGGCGAAGGCAGCCAUCUGGCCUAAUACUGACGCUGAGGUACGAAAGCAUGGGGAGCAAACAGGAUUAGAUACCCCCGUAGUCCCUGUCUCUUAUAC
rnacentral:rRNA from 1 species